UUAAAUAACAUAUUCAAUAGAGACAAUCAACUAAAAUGAGUCAUCGCUAAAACUAUCUGUUUCAGUUUGAAAAAAACCAAAAACAGUUUACGUGUCGCUCUUGAUAAAUCAGUACUUUAUUCGUAUAAAAAUUAAGAUUAAACGUUCAAAAUUAAAUUGAGGUAAGUGUUUUUGAUAUAUAAUGGAAAUGAUUUUAUAUAUAUUAGGUCCGUCUUUCUGUUUUCAUGAUCAUUUGGUUUGUUUGCGUAAUGUUUACUAUUUUUAAAACUGUAUAAUGUGUUUUUUUACAACAAUACAGAGAAGAUACAAUUUCAUUUAUACACACGCACCUAUAAUAUAAUGGAACUUUAUGUGACUGUCAUGCAAGUAAGAGGUGUAGCUAGCUACAAAGUUCAGGUGUAAUCCACCAUUUUCAGUAGAUAUCCAUUCGUUUGUAGUGUUUGAGCAUUUGAUUUUGUCAUUUGCUUAGGAACUCAGGGUUAAGAAUUUUCCUUAGAGUUUGGUAUUUUUGUUAAUAACUUGCUACAAUAUUUUUCCAGGUUAAAUAUUAAAAUACCCUAACAUAUAUAUCAUUAUUUAUUUUAUGUGAUUGAUUUUUUUUUUUAUUAUUAUUGUUAAGUUUUUCAUUACAACAAAAUGAAAGCAAUAAAUAAUCAUUGUCUACCAUGUUUUUUUCCGAUGCUGUUCAAACAAAUAUUCAUCAUUUGUCAAAGACUUUUUAGAACCUUUGAAAAGACUGAAGCAAAUCUAAAAACUCUCUUAGCAAAAAUGUAAAGAACGCAUCUUAAAAGUGGUUAUCAAACAUCAUUGAAAACCCAUACUUAUUCAAAAUAGAAUAUAACGAUAUCACUUUGCGAUAAUUAAGACCAAAACCUCAAAGAAAAACCUUCAUUCGUUCCGUUUCUGGACAUAAUGACGCAGACAUCCGAGAAGGCGGCAGUAAUAAAAAUAAAAGAAUGUGGUACCAUUGCCAAAGAGACAACUCUUCAUCAGAGACCUAAUGACAUAGAACUUUAUGAUUAAAAUCCACUGAUUGACCUUCAACAAUGACCUUAACCGCAAAGUAAGCGUAUGAAAAGCCCCACAAUGACAAUAGUUUUAAAAUUAGUACAAAAAUUCAAUCGAGAAAACUGACGGCAAAUUUUAUUUAACAAUGAACGGAUUAUCCAAGAUAAGAGCUUAUCCUCUGUGUAACCGGACUUGAGAACAUAUGUAUAUCCUCAAAGAUUAUAACUACAUUUAUUGCGCUACAGUUUUGGAUUGGCUAAAAUUGCGUUCCAAUAUAAAUAUAUUUGGUCAGUUCUUUUACAGAAUCAAUUGAAUUCUUGUUAUUGAUUUACUUGAAGUAGUCUUAUACUGCUAAAAUAUUUUAACAUUAUUUGUUUUAACGUUAAUGAGAAACACUUUGUCACUCUUUCUGUCAAUUCGAAGAAAAAGUAAUAAGAAUAAUUAUUCAUAAUAUAUUUGAUUCGUUUUCUUUUUAGUUGUCUUUUUCAAACGAUAGAGAAGAAUGAGUUAUAAUCAGUCAGCUGUCAUGUAUCAUAAUUCGAAAUUUUUUCUGGCACAAAUGAAUCCAACGGUAAGCAGACUUUUGAUUUACUUAUAAAGGUCGAAUACCUUAUUACAGUAAAAAAAUAAACAAACAGAAAAAUCUACAUAUAAAUCAAUAUGA
rnacentral:lncRNA from 1 species